rnacentral:rRNA from 1 species
CACGUAGGGCGCAAGCGUUGUCCGGAAUUAUUGGGCGUAAAGAGCUCGUAGGCGGCUUGUCGCGUCGUCCGUGAAAACCUGUGGCUCAACUGCAGGCUUGCGGUCGAUACGGGCAGGCUGGAGUUCGGUAGGGGAGACUGGAAUUCCUGGUGUAGCGGUGAAAUGCGCAGAUAUCAGGAGGAACACCGGUGGCGAAGGCGGGUCUCUGGGCCGAUACUGACGCUGAGGAGCGAAAGCGUGGGGAGCGAACAGG